GACGAACGCUGGCGGCGUGCUUAACACAUGCAAGUCGAACGGUGACCCAGGGCUUGCCCUGGUGAUCAGUGGCGAACGGGUGAGUAACACGUGGGGCAACCUGCCCCUGACUUCGGGAUAACUCCUCGAAAGAGGAGCUAAUACCGGAUACGACCACUUCGGACAUCCGAUGGUGGUGGAAAGUUUUUCGGUCAGGGAUGGGCCCGCGGCUUAUCAGCUAGUUGGUGGGGUAAUGGCCUACCAAGGCGACGACGGGUAGCCGGCCUGAGAGGGCGACCGGCCACACUGGGACUGAGACACGGCCCAGACUCCUACGGGAGGCAGCAGUGGGGAAUAUUGCGCAAUGGGCGAAAGCCUGACGCAGCGACGCCGCGUGAGGGAUGAAGGCCUCGGUGUAA
rnacentral:rRNA from 1 species